CAUCUGUGUAAUUAGUUUUAUAAUUAGCUCAUAUUUAGUUCUCCUAAUUAACAUCCGAAUAUUCGAUGUGACAUGAAUUUUAGGAGGUUCUAAAGAACCAAACACCCCCUUAUACUGCCAUCUAAGCAAAUCGAGCUGACGUGGAUCGUGAUUGAUGAAGAGGGAGAAGCGAGCCGUCAUCUGGUGAGACGAUGGCCGCGGCUCGUGCUCCGAGAAGAAUCGACGGAUCGAAGCGUGUUAUACCCAUCAUCUCCACCCGACGACCGACGCCUCUGGCCGAUCAGCUGUGGCGAGGUCAUGCGAGGGCAGUGCGAUGCGGCGGCAGCGUGGAAGUAGGUCGCAACAUGGGAGAAGAAGGGCGCGGUGGCGGCGGCACGAGAUGGCAAGACCACAUCGGCCGCACCCGGCUCCGGGGCUUGACAUGUUCCCAGGCAGCGGUGUAGUGGGGGCCGGCUCUAGGCUUGUUCUAGCGGCGUAGCUGCCUCUAUCGAUGGGGCAUGGCUUCACCAGCGCCCCUAUCUAAUCACCUUGAUUAAUGGGUUUAUAAAUGAAUUAUAUAGUUUGCAGAUAAUUUAAAAGAUAAAUCACUGUACAACCA